UACGUAGGGUGCGAGCGUUGUCCGGAAUUACUGGGCGUAAAGAGCUCGUAGGUGGUUUGUCGCGUUGUCCGUGAAAACUCACAACUCAAUUGUGGGCGUGCGGGCGAUACGGGCAGACUGGAGUACUGCAGGGGAGACUGGAAUUCCUGGUGUAGCGGUGGAAUGCGCAGAUAUCAGGAGGAACACCGGUGGCGAAGGCGGAUCUCUGGGCCAUUACUGACGCUGAGGAGCGAAAGCGUGGGGAGCGAACAGG
rnacentral:rRNA from 1 species